GCUGGGAAGGGGAAGAAAGAAAGAUCCUAAGACUGGUAGGAGUUGGAACAUCAAGGAACGCGCUUCAAGGAAAUCCCCUCUAGCAAUGGAGGUUGAUAUUCGGCUUGGCGUUUUCCUGAUGUCUCCUAUUCCUAUGAUUCUUAGGUGCUCCUUCCUCUUCCUUUUGCUU
rnacentral:pre_miRNA from 1 species